rnacentral:rRNA from 1 species
AUGAACGCUAGCGACAGGCUUAACACAUGCAAGUCGAGGGGCAGCACAGGUAGCAAUACCGGGUGGCGACCGGCGCACGGGUGAGUAACGCGUAUGCAACUUGCCUAUCAGAGGGGGAUAACCCGGCGAAAGUCGGACUAAUACCGCAUGAAGCAGGGGCCCCGCAUGGGGAUAUUUGCUAAAGAUUCAUCGCUGAUAGAUAGGCAUGCGUUCCAUUAGGCAGUUGGCGGGGUAACGGCCCACCAAACCGACGAUGGAUAGGGGUUCUGAGAGGAAGGUCCCCCACAUUGGUACUGAGACACGGACCAAACUCCUACGGGAGGCAGCAGUGAGGAAUAUUGGUCAAUGGGCGUAAGCCUGAACCAGCCAAGUCGCGUGAGGGAUGAAGGUUCUAUGGAUCGUAAACCUCUUUUAUAAGGGAAUAAAGUGUGGGACGUGUCCCGUUUUGUAUGUACCUUAUGAAUAAGGAUCGGCUAACUCCGUGCCAGCAGCCGCGGUAAUACGGAGGAUCCGAGCGUUAUCCGGAUUUAUUGGGUUUAAAGGGUGCGUAGGCGGCCUUUUAAGUCAGCGGUGAAAGUCUGUGGCUCAACCAUAGAAUUGCCGUUGAAACUGGGGGGCUUGAGUAUGUUUGAGGCAGGCGGAAUGCGUGGUGUAGCGGUGAAAUGCUUAGAUAUCACGCAGAACCCCGAUUGCGAAGGCAGCCUGCCAAGCCAUGACUGACGCUGAUGCACGAAAGCGUGGGGAUCAAACAGGAUUAGAUACCCUGGUAGUCCACGCAGUAAACGAUGAUCACUAGCUGUUUGCGAUACAUUGUAAGCGGCACAGCGAAAGCGUUAAGUGAUCCACCUGGGGAGUACGCCGGCAACGGUGAAACUCAAAGGAAUUGACGGGGGCCCGCACAAGCGGAGGAACAUGUGGUUUAAUUCGAUGAUACGCGAGGAACCUUACCCGGGUUUGAACGCAUUCGGACCGAGGUGGAAACACCUUUUCUAGCAAUAGCCGUUUGCGAGGUGCUGCAUGGUUGUCGUCAGCUCGUGCCGUGAGGUGUCGGCUUAAGUGCCAUAACGAGCGCAACCCUUGCCACUAGUUACUAACAGGUAAAGCUGAGGACUCUGGUGGGACUGCCAGCGUAAGCUGCGAGGAAGGCGGGGAUGACGUCAAAUCAGCACGGCCCUUACAUCCGGGGCGACACACGUGUUACAAUGGCGUGGACAAAGGGAAGCCACCUGGCGACAGGGAGCGAAUCCCCAAACCACGUCUCAGUUCGGAUCGGAGUCUGCAACCCGACUCCGUGAAGCUGGAUUCGCUAGUAAUCGCGCAUCAGCCAUGGCGCGGUGAAUACGUUCCCGGGCCUUGUACACACCGCCCGUCAAGCCAUGGGAGCCGGGGGUACCUGAAGUCCGUAACCGCGAGGAUCGGCCUAGGGUAAAACUGGUGACUGGGGCU